UAAGACUUUGCUAUUCAAGCAGGCUUUUAGUUAGUUGAGGGGUGUUUGUGGUUGUCUGUCAUGUUUCUAGUUCUAUUUAAAAUGUUCCUGUAUUCUUUAUUUGUAGUGUUAUAUUGCAUUUUGUUUUGAAGGACUUUGUGAUUUUAUCUGCGAGAGGUGCUAUACAUAUAAACUUUACUUAACUUACUUACUAAUCCGACCUUCUGGAGGACUUUUGUUUUUUACCAAAAAAGCAGUCUGCUAGAAUUUUGGCCUUAAAACUCACUCCUCAAGUUUGCUAUGGCAAGUAGCUGAUCACGAUCAUAUCCUUUUGACUUCAGCUACUGUUGGACUUCAGAAUUCAACUUCUUUAAACCUGUCCUUUCCGAGAUUGUUUUGCAGAACUCCUGUUGGUGUUGGACUCCUGAUUUCUGGAUUAUUUAGUGGAGUAUCCUGGAGUAUAUCGUUUCUUAGCCCUUGUUUUGGGCUAUCUGACACGUCUUUAAUGAGAUUGUGUUGGGAACAAAUAAUCACGAUGGUGUGGAUGGUGGACGCCUCAAACCAACCCAAAUCAAACCAACCAACCAAAACGUAAAAAGUACCAGUGCAGUGAAUCGACAAGUCAUGCAACCUGCCUUAUGUGUGGGGGGAGUACACUGAACCUGUAACGGGAAAUUCAGGGAGUUCUGGCAGACCCUUCAAUGAUGGGGACCAGAAUCUCAGUGUUCCAAGCCAGGCCUCAGGUGGAUGUACCAGCAGUGACCAAGAGGAGUUAAGGAUUACUAUAUUAACAUUACAACUAAGGAAACCAGGAUCCCAACCAGGCCAGUACGUGGUUAGCUUACUACAUGGGGACUUGGGGCAGGACACUGGACCUGCUGCUGGAUGUUCCGGGAGUUCUGUCAGACCUCUCAAUGAUUUGGACCAGAGUUCCAAUGUUCCAAGACAGUCCUGGGGGGGACGAACCAGGCAAGACCGGGAGGAGCUACAGCGUCUGAAGAGGGAGCGGACCUGUAAGGUGUGUCUGUAGGAGUGGGUCCACGUGGUCCUCAUCCCCUGUGGGCACCUGGUGUGUGAGGAGUGCCCCAGCAAGCGGCCAUCUUGUCCUCUCUGCAGAGGAGAGAUCCAGCAGCGCUUCAAUAUCUAUUUCUCAUAACCAUAUGAGUGCUAGACCAAACUGAGUUGAGUGGUGAGGGAGUCGGGCUAGUAAUCAGAAGGUUGCCGGAUCGAUUCCCCGCCCCGCCAAUAUGACGUUGUGUC